UAGGGAAUCUUCCACAAUGGACGCAAGUCUGAUGGAGCAACGCCGCGUGAGUGAAGAAGGUCUUCGGAUCGUAAAGCUCUGUUGUUGGUGAAGAAGGAUAGAGGCAGUAACUGGUCUUUAUUUGACGGUAAUCAACCAGAAAGUCACGGCUAACUACGUGCCAGCAGCCGCGGUAAUACGUAGGUGGCAAGCGUUGUCCGGAUUUAUUGGGCGUAAAGCGAGCGCAGGCGGAAUGAUAAGUCUGAUGUGAAAGCCCACGGCUCAACCGUGGAACUGCAUCGGAAACUGUCAUUCUUGAGUGCAGAAGAGGAGAGUGGAACUCCAUGUGUAGCGGUGGAAUGCGUAGAUAUAUGGAAGAACACCAGUGGCGAAGGCGGCUCUCUGGUCUGCAACUGACGCUGAGGCUCGAAAGCAUGGGUAGCGAACAGGAUUAGAUACCCUGGUAGUCCAUGCCGUAAACGAUGAGCGCUAGGUGUUGGGGACUUUCCGGUCCUCAGUGCCGCAGCAAACGCAUUAAGCGCUCCGCCUGG
rnacentral:rRNA from 1 species